GAUGAACGCUGGCGGCGUGCCUAAUACAUGCAAGUCGAACGCUUCACUUCGGUGAAGAGUGGCGAACGGGUGAGUAAUACAUAAGUAACCUGGCAUCUACAGGGGGAUAACUGAUGGAAACGUCAGCUAAGACCGCAUAGGUGUAGAGAUCGCAUGAACUCUAUAUGAAAGGUGCUACGGGACUGGUAGAUGAUGGACUUAUGGCGCAUUAGCUUGUUGGUAGGGUAACGGCCUACCAAGGCGACGAUGCGUAGCCGACCUGAGAGGGUGACCGGCCACACUGGGACUGAGACACGGCCCAGACUCCUACGGGAGGCAGCAGUAGGGAAUUUUCGGCAAUGGGGGAAACCCUGACCGAGCAACGCCGCGUGAAGGAAGAAGUAAUUCGUUAUGUAAACUUCUGUCAUAGAGGAAGAACGGUGGAUAUAGGGAAUGAUAUCCAAGUGACGGUACUCUAUAAGAAAGCCACGGCUAACUACGUG
rnacentral:rRNA from 1 species